rnacentral:rRNA from 1 species
GGGCCCGCACAAGCAGUGGAGUAUGUGGUUUAAUUCGAAGCAACGCGAAGAACCUUACCAGGGCUUGACAUACCGAUGACCGGGUUAGAGAUAACCCUUCCCUUCGGGGCAUUGGAUACAGGUGGUGCAUGGUUGUCGUCAGCUCGUGUCGUGAGAUGUUGGGUUAAGUCCCGCAACGAGCGCAACCCCUGUUGUUAGUUGCCAUCAUUAAGUUGGGCACUCUAACGAGACUGCCGGUGACAAAUCGGAGGAAGGUGGGGAUGACGUCAAAUCAUCAUGCCCCUUAUGUCCUGGGCUACACACGUACUACAAUGGCGAUUACAGAGGGAGGCAAUACCGCGAGGUGGAGCAAAUCCCCAAAAAUCGCCCCAGUUCAGAUUGCAGGCUGCAACUCGCCUGCAUGAAGUAGGAAUUGCUAGUAAUGGCAGGUCAGCAUACUGCCGUGAAUACGUUCCCGGGCCUU